AUAAAGAUCAUUGCAUUCAGAACGGACUAACUUAGAUUUUGAUAUAUACGAUUUGAAUUUACAUGCAAUAUUGACUGCGCUAUUGAUGUUUGAACGUUGAACUACUGUUUUUGAAAAUGCCAAAAAUUAGCAUAAAACAAUCUUAUAAUUUCCGAUGUAUGUAAAUUUAAGUGUUAUUUAUCAAAAUCUAAGUUAGUCCUUUCUGAAUGCAAUGAUUUCAUU